rnacentral:tRNA from 1 species
UCUAAUGUGGCAGAUUAGUGCAAUGGAUUUAAACCCCAUAUAUAAAGGGACCUUUUUUUAGAA